NNCCCCGGGUGCGGACGGUUGGCUGUCAGCGGGGCCGCGGUCGGGGGCGUGUGUGCUGCGGCGGCAAUGCCCAGGCGGCGGUCCGCGCACCCCUCAAACACGAGCUCCGACAGCGCCCGGCAUGCAGGGAGACGAGCCGCCUGGGUCCCCGAGGCCUCCAUCGCGACCGCCCCACGCUGCCUCUCUGUGCUGCCGGCCACUGGGCCGCGGGCGCGCUUUAACCCCUGCUGCGUCCGUGCCGCGGUUCCCCGGUGCGGCCUCGGAACGCUCCAACACCUCUCUGUGUGCUUGUCCUGCACGAGGGCGACCUCACAACCCGAAGAAAAGUCAAGGCUAAGGGUCACCCUUACUUAUUUCCUCUCCAAACACGAAUCCCCUAUGGCUGGGUUUUUCUCUAUUUCUCCGUUUCCAGGGUCCCUCUGGUCCCGGCCCCCCUUCACUCCUAUGGCCUCUUCGCGGCUUCUCUCGUGGCCCCUGGGCAGUCCUCUCUGUGCAAAGCAACCAGUCUUUUCAGACGCAUGAGAUGGAGACAUCACUUCUUUUCUCCCAAAUGAAUAGCUGACUGUCUCAACCCAGCUCAGUGAAUAUGCUGUUCUUUGUCCGUCGACUGGAAAUACUACCAUGUGAGUCUGUAUCGGGGUCCUCUGUUCCCUUUCAUUGCUCUGUUUCGUAUCAUUGCACCAAUAACUAUUUUAAUUAUUGUUAACAUAAUAAAUUAUCAGGUUAGACAAAGGCCUGCUUUAUUCUUAUUUUUCAGAAUUAUCCUGGCUAAACUUGUGAGUUGAUUUUUCUGAUUGUUUAGAAUCAAGUUCCCC
rnacentral:lncRNA from 1 species